rnacentral:rRNA from 1 species
UAAAGAUUCAUCGCUGAUAGAUAGGCAUGCGUUCCAUUAGGCAGUUGGCGGGGUAACGGCCCACCAAACCGACGAUGGAUAGGGGUUCUGAGAGGAAGGUCCCCCACAUUGGUACUGAGACACGGACCAAACUCCUACGGGAGGCAGCAGUGAGGAAUAUUGGUCAAUGGGCGUAAGCCUGAACCCGCCAAGUCGCGUGAGGGAUGAAGGUUCUAUGGAUCGUAAACCUCUUUUAUAAGGGAAUAAAGUGCGGGACGUGUCCCGUUUUGUAUGUACCUUAUGAAUAAGGAUCGGCUAACUCCGUGCCAGCAGCCGCGGUAAUACGGAGGAUCCGAGCGUUAUCCGGAUUUAUUGGGUUUAAAGGGUGCGUAGGCGGCCUUUUAAGUCAGCGGUGAAAGUCUGUGGCUCAACCAUAGAAUUGCCGUUGAAACUGGGAGGCUUGAGUAUGUUUGAGGCAGGCGGAAUGCGUGGUGUAGCGGUGAAAUGCUUAGAUAUCACGCAGAACCCCGAUUGCGAAGGCAGCCUGCCAAGCCAUGACUGACGCUGAUGCACGAAAGCGUGGGGAUCAAACAGGAUUAGAUACCCUGGUAGUCCACGCAGUAAACGAUGAUCACUAGCUGUUUGCGAUACACAGUAA